AACGUAGGUACCCGAGCGUUAUCCGGAUUUACUGGGCGUAAAGCGUGUUCAGGCGGCCUAGCAAGUCGGGCAUGAAAUCUCUCGGCUCAACCGGGAGAGGCUGUCCGAUACUGCUGGGCUUGAGGACGGUAGAGGGUGGUGGAAUUCCGCGUGUAGUGGUGAAAUGCGUAGAUAUGCGGAGGAACACCAGUGGCGAAGGCGGCCACCUGGACCGUCCU
rnacentral:rRNA from 1 species